rnacentral:rRNA from 1 species
CGAGUCGAGUUGUUUGGGAAUGCAGCUCAAAAUGGGUGGUAAAUUUCAUCUAAAGCUAAAUAUUGGCGAGAGACCGAUAGCGCACAAGUAGAGUGAUCGAAAGAUGAAAAGCACUUUGAAAAGAGAGUUAAAAAGUACGUGAAAUUGUUGAAAGGGAAGCGCUUGCGACCAGACUCGAUCUUUGGUGAUCAGCCGGGCUUCUGUCCGGUGCCCUCGCCAUUGAUUGGGCCAGCAUCGGUUCUGACGGCGGGAUAAAAGGAGGAGGAAUGUGGCUCCCUUCGGGGAGUGUUAUAGCCUCCUUCACAAUGCCGCCCAGUUGGGACCGAGGACCGCGCUUCGGCUAGGAUGCUGCNAU